GAUGAACGCUGGCGGCGUGCCUAAUACAUGCAAGUCGAGCGAACGGACGAGAAGCUUGCUUCUCUGAUGUUAGCGGCGGACGGGUGAGUAACACGUGGAUAACCUACCUAUAAGACUGGGAUAACUUCGGGAAACCGGAGCUAAUACCGGAUAAUAUUUUGAACCGCAUGGUUCAAAAGUGAAAGCCGGCCUUGCUGUCACUUAUAGAUGGAUCCGCGCUGCAUUAGGUAGUUGGUAAGGUAACGGCUUACCAAGGCAACGAUGCAUAGCCGACCUGAGAGGGUGAUCGGCCACACUGGAACUGAGACACGGUCCAGACUCCUACGGGAGGCAGCAGUAGGGAAUCUUCCGCAAUGGGCGAAAGCCUGACGGAGCAACGCCGCGUGAGUGAUGAAGGUCUUCGGAUCGUAAAACUCUGUUAUUAGGGAAGAACAUAUGUUUAAGUAACUGUGCACAUCUUGACGGUACCUAAUCAGAAAGCCACGGCUAACUACGUG
rnacentral:rRNA from 1 species